rnacentral:rRNA from 1 species
UACGUAGGGUGCGAGCGUUGUCCGGAAUUAUUGGGCGUAAAGAGCUUGUAGGCGGUUUGUCGCGUCUGCUGUGAAAAUCCGGGGCUCAACCCCGGACUUGCAGUGGGUACGGGCAGACUAGAGUGUGGUAGGGGAGACUGGAAUUCCUGGUGUAGCGGUGAAAUGCGCAGAUAUCAGGAGGAACACCGAUGGCGAAGGCAGGUCUCUGGGCCACUACUGACGCUGAGGAGCGAAAGCGUGGGGAGCGAACAGA